rnacentral:rRNA from 2 species
AUGGGGGGCACCAGGCGAGAAAACUUUGCAAUGUGCGAAAGCACGACAAGGUUAAUCCGAGUGGCCUCUGCUGAAGUGGUCUUUUGACAGUCCUAGAAACACUGUCGAAUAAGGGGUGGGCAAGUUCUGGUGUCAGCCGCCGCGGUAAAACCAGCACCUCAAGUGGUCAGGAUGAUUAUUGGGCCUAAAGCAUCCGUAGCCGGAUCUAUAAGUUUUCGGUUAAAUCUAUGCGCUCAACGUAUAGGCAGCCGGAAAUACUGUGGAUCUAGGGAGUGGGAGAGUGGGAGGGUACUCGGUAGGAAGAGGUAAAAUUCACUAAUCUAUCGAUGACCACCUGUGGCGAAGGCGGUCUACCAGAACACGUCCGACGGUGAGGGAUGAAAGCUGGGGGAGUCAAACCGGAUUAGAUACCCGGGGAGUCCCAGCUGUAAACAAUGCAAACUCAAUGAUGCAUCGGGUUGAACCCGGUGCAGUGUUGCAGGGAAGCCGUUAAGUUUGCCGCCUGGGAAGUACGUACGCAAGUAUGAAACUUAAAGGAAUUGGCGGGGGAGCAC